rnacentral:rRNA from 1 species
CCUACGGGGGGCUGCAGUGGGGAAUAUUGGACAAUGGGCGAAAGCCUGAUCCAGCCAUGCCGCGUGUGUGAAGAAGGCCUUCGGGUUGUAAAGCACUUUCAGUGGGGAAGAAAGCCUUGGGGCUAAUACCCUCGAGGAAGGACAUCACCCACAGAAGAAGCACCGGCUAACUCCGUGCCAGCAGCCUCGGUAAUACGGAGGGUGCGAGCGUUAAUCGGAAUUACUGGGCGUAAAGCGCGCGUAGGCGGUCUGAUAAGCCGGUUGUGAAAGCCCCGGGCUCAACCUGGGAACGGCAUCCGGAACUGUCAGGCUAGAGUGCAGGAGAGGAAGGUAGAAUUCCCGGUGUAGCGGUGAAAUGCGUAGAGAUCGGGAGGAAUACCAGUGGCGAAGGCGGCCUUCUGGACUGACACUGACGCUGAGGUGCGAAAGCGUGGGUAGCAAACAGGAUUAGAUACCCUGGUAGUC